rnacentral:rRNA from 1 species
GACGAACGCUGGCGGCGUGCUUAACACAUGCAAGUCGAACGGAAAGGCCCUGCUUUUGUGGUUUUCUCGAGUUGUGAUCGCGUGAGUAACACGUGCGUAACCUCCCCUUGACUUUCGGAUAACUUCAGGAAACUGGGGCUACUACCGGUUAGGAGCUCCUUCUGCAUGUUGCGUGAUUGACAGUUUCGGCGGUUGGGGAUGGGCGCGCGGCUUAUCAGCUUGUUGGUGUGGUAGUGGCUUACCAAGGCUUUGACGGGUAGCCGGACUGAGAGGGGGACCAGCCACAGUGGGACUGAGAUAGGAGCCAGACGGAAACGGGAGGAAGGGGUGGGGAAUAUUGCAAAAAAGGCGGAAGCAUGAAAGAGCGACGCCGGGUGCGGAAUGACGGCCUUAGGGUUGUAAACAGCUUUCGCCUGAGACGAAGGAGGAGUGACGGUAAUGGAUAAAGAAGCAACGGCUAACUACGUG